rnacentral:rRNA from 1 species
GAUCUGGCUCAGGAUGAACGCUAGCGACAGGCUAACACAUGCAAGUCGAGGGGCAGCAGUAAAAGUAGCAAUACGUUGGUGGCGACCGGCGCACGGGUGAGUAACGCGUAUGCAACCUACCUAUCAGAGGGGAAUAACCCGGCGAAAGUCGGACUAAUACCGCAUAAAACAGGGGCACCGCAUGGUGAUAUUUGUUAAAGAAAUUCGCUGAUAGAUGGGCAUGCGUUCCAUUAGGUAGUUGGUGAGGUAACGGCUCACCAAGCCGACGAUGGAUAGGGGAACUGAGAGGUUGGUCCCCCACACUGGUACUGAGACACGGACCAGACUCCUACGGGAGGCAGCAGUGAGGAAUAUUGGUCAAUGGGCGAGAGCCUGAACCAGCCAAGUCGCGUGAAGGAAGAAGGAUCUAUGGUUCGUAAACUUCUUUUGCAGGGGAAUAAAGUGCAGGACGUGUCCUGUUUUGUAUGUACCCUGAGAAUAAGGAUCGGCUAACUCCGUGCCAGCAGCCGC